rnacentral:rRNA from 1 species
CGCGUAGGUGGUUUGUUAAGUCGGAUGUGAAAGCCCCGGGCUCAACCUGGGAAUUGCAUUCGAUACUGGCAGGCUAGAGUAUGGUAGAGGGAAGUGGAAUUCCAGGUGUAGCGGUGAAAUGCGUAGAUAUCUGGAGGAACAUCAGUGGCGAAGGCGACUUCCUGGACCAAUACUGACACUGAGGUGCGAAAGCGUGGGUAGCGAACA